GAGGGUAUAGCUCAGUGGUAGAGCACAUGUUUAGUCCUGGGUUCAACUCUCAGUACUUUCA
rnacentral:tRNA from 1 species